GUUUUGUGGCUCAAUGGGAGAGUGCAUGUUUUGCAAGCAGAAGAUACCAGGUUCAAUUCCUGGCAUCUUCA
rnacentral:tRNA from 1 species